GAUGAACGCUAGCGGCAGGCUUAACACAUGCAAGUCGAGGGGCAGCACGGGUAGCAAUACCUGGUGGCGACCGGCGCAAGGGUGCGUAACGCGUGAGCAACAUGCCCUACUACAGGGGGAGUAAUCCAGGGAAACUUGGUCUAAUAUCCCAUAGUAUUUAGAGGAGGCAUCUUCUAUAAAUUAAAGCUUCGGUGGUAUAGGAUUGGCUCGCGUGACAUUAGCUAGAUGGUGAGGUAACGGCUCACCAUGGCAAUGAUGUCUAGGGGUUCUGAGAGGAAGGCCCCCCACACUGGGACUGAGACACGGCCCAGACUCCUACGGGAGGCAGCAGUGAGGAAUAUUGGACAAUGGAUGGAAAUCUGAUCCAGCCAUGCCGCGUGCAGGAAGACAGCCCUAUGGGUUGUAAACUGCUUUUAUAUGGGAGCAAUAAGGUCUACGUGUAGACUGAUGAGAGUACCAUAUGAAUAAGC
rnacentral:rRNA from 1 species